rnacentral:rRNA from 1 species
AUGAACGCUAGCGGCAGGCUUAACACAUGCAAGUCGAGGGGCAGCAUAAUGGAUAGCAAUAUCUAUGGUGGCGACCGGCGCACGGGUGCGUAACGCGUAUGCAACCUACCUUUAACAGGGGGAUAACACUGAGAAAUUGGUACUAAUACCCCAUAAUAUCAUAGAAGGCAUCUUUUAUGGUUGAAAAUUCCGAUGGUUAGAGAUGGGCAUGCGUUGUAUUAGCUAGUUGGUGGGGUAACGGCUCACCAAGGCGACGAUACAUAGGGGGACUGAGAGGUUAACCCCCCACACUGGUACUGAGACACGGACCAGACUCCUACGGGAGGCAGCAGUGAGGAAUAUUGGUCAAUGGACGCAAGUCUGAACCAGCCAUGCCGCGUGCAGGAUGACGGCUCUAUGAGUUGUAAACUGCUUUUGUACGAGGGUAAACGCAGAUACGUGUAUCUGUCUGAAAGUAUCGUACGAAUAAGGAUCGGCUAACUCCGUGCCAGCAGCCGCGGUAAUACGGAGGAUUCAAGCGUUAUCCGGAUUUAUUGGGUUUAAAGGGUGCGUAGGCGGUUUGAUAAGUUAGAGGUGAAAUUUCGGGGCUCAACCCUGAACGUGCCUCUAAUACUGUUGAGCUAGAGAGUAGUUGCGGUAGGCGGAAUGUAUGGUGUAGCGGUGAAAUGCUUAGAGAUCAUACAGAACACCGAUUGCGAAGGCAGCUUACCAAACUAUAUCUGACGUUGAGGCACGAAAGCGUGGGGAGCAAACAGGAUUAGAUACCCUGGUAGUCCACGCCGUAAACGAUGAUUGCUAGGUGUAGGUGGGUAUGGACCCAUCGGUGCCGCAGCUAACGCAAUAAGCAAUCCACCUGGGGAGUACGUUCGCAAGAAUGAAACUCAAAGGAAUUGACGGGGGCCCGCACAAGCAGCGGAGCAUGUGGCUUAAUUCGAAGCAACGCGAAGAACCUUACCAGGGCUUGACAUCCGGGUGAAGCGGCGGAGACGCCGUGGCCGAGAGGAGCCCGGACAGGUGGUGCAUGGCUGUCGUCAGCUCGUGCCGUGAGGUGUUGGGUUAAGUCCCGCAACGAGCGCAACCCUUACUGUCAGUUACUACGCAAGAGGACUCUGGCAGGACUGCCGUUGACAAAACGGAGGAAGGUGGGGAUGACGUCAAAUCAUCAUGCCCCUUAUGACUUGGGCUACACACGUGCUACAAUGGCGUAAACAAAGGGAAGCGAGAUCGUGAGAUGGAGCAAAUCCCAAAAAUAACGUCCCAGUUCGGACUGUAGUCUGCAACUCGCCUGCACGAAGUCGGAAUUGCUAGUAAUCGUGGAUCAGCAUGCCACGGUGAAUACGUUCCCGGGCCUUGUACACACCGCCCGUCAAGCCAUGGGAGCCGGGGGUGCCUGAAGUUCGUGACCGCAAGGAGCGACCUAGGGCAAAACUGGUGACUGGGGCU